rnacentral:ncRNA from 1 species
UUAAACGCUGUGAUCAGGGAAAGUAGGCUAUAUGGAGUGGCCAGAGAGGGGCUCCUUGGCUGGAAGAGUCCUACACAAAAGUAUAGCUGAAGUGCACCUGUGAGCGUUAGGCUGAAAUUCAGUAGGCUGAGACGGGUCCACCCGUUAUAGUGGGACGGCAUGAUGGUGCCGGAUAGAGAUGGGAUUAUUGUCCCAAUCAGAGUGGAACCGCGGAGAUUAAGCCUUCGCCUCUGAA